rnacentral:rRNA from 1 species
GAUGAACGCUGGCGGCGUGCCUAAUACAUGCAAGUCGAGCGAAAAGACGAGGAGCUUGCUCCUCUGACGUUAGCGGAGGGCGGGAGAGUAACACGUGGAUAACCUACCUAUAAGACUGGGAUAACUUCGGGAAACGGGAGCUAAUACCGGAUAAUAUCUUGAACCGCAUGGUUCAAUAGUGAAAGACGGUUUUGCUGUCACUUAUCGAUGGAUCCGCGCCGCAUUAGCUAGUUGGUAAGGUAACGGCUUACCAAGGCAACGAUGCGUAGCCGACCUGAGAGGGGGAUCGGCCACACUGGAACUGAGACACGGUCCAGACUCCUGCGGGAGGCAGCAGUAGGGAAUCUUCCGCAAUGGGCGAAAGCCUGGCGCAGCAACGCCGCGUGAGUGAUGAAGGUCUUCGGAUCGUAAAGCUCUGUUAUUAGUUAAGAACAAAUGUGGAAGUAACUAUGCACGUCUUGACGGUACCUAAUCAGAAAGCCACGGCUAACUACGUG